GAGAGAGAGAGAGAGAGAGAGAGAGAGGCGCUAGACACGUUCAGUUCCAGUAUGGGACGGGGCUCUUACAGGCCCACGGACAACACGCCUAACAGCGAGCCAGUCUUCAUCCUGCCAUCGUGUGUGGUGCUUGUGGUUUAGGUUUUGGAAGUAAAACAUUGGUGAUACGACAUGUCUAAAUAAUUACUGAAAGCAUGUUAGAGGAAUUCAACGUUGUUGGUAGUGAAUCAGUCCUUCGAUCCUUGUGAGUUUGUCGACGUUAACAGUGUUAGUGGCACAGCAACUGUGGUUAAUAGAUGCAGUAGUGGAAGAGCUCGUUACCUCCAGCACCAACAGCCAACGGAAUGACAUCCCAGGCAAGCAAUGCGGAACUUCUUGCUCUGGUGAAAGCAGGCGACGCCGAAGGGCUGCAGACCGCCCUCGGCUCCCUAUCUGCAGGCGCCCUCUCGACUUUCUUGGGUCGGGACCCAUUACACGAGGCUGCUUGGGGAGGUCAAGAGGCAGUGGUCGAGACACUCCUCAAUUUUUGGUGCGC
rnacentral:lncRNA from 1 species